AGCGAAUGCUGGCGGCAGGCCUAACACAUGCAAGUCGAACGGAUCCUUCGGGAUUAGUGGCGGACGGGUGAGUAACACGUGGGAACGUGCCCUUUGGUUCGGAACAACUCUGGGAAACUUGAGCUAAUACCGGAUGUGCCCUUCGGGGGAAAGAUUUAUCGCCAUUGGAGCGGCCCGCGUCUGAUUAGCUAGUUGGUGAGGUAAAGGCUCACCAAGGCGACGAUCAGUAGCUGGUCUGAGAGGAUGAUCAGCCACAUUGGGACUGAAACACGGCCCAAACUCCUACGGGAGGCAGCAGUGGGGAAUCUUGCGCAAUGGGCGAAAGCCUGACGCAGCCAUGCCGCGUGAAUGAUGAAGGUCUUAGGAUUGUAAAAUUCUUUCACCGGGGACGAUAAUGACGGUACCCGGAGAAGAAGCCCCGGCUAACUUCGUGCCAGCCGCCGCCGUAA
rnacentral:rRNA from 1 species